GGGAAGUUCGAACAGAAGUCUGGGGAAGAGCAGGCGAAGAGCAAAGAGAUGGACUGAGUACUCCCAGCUAGAGCAAGCGGCAGUUAUGGCGCAUGCGCAGCAGCAGGGGUGGCCGCAGUCAAGGGAUUUGUACAGCCCUAUAGGAGACACCUCCAGAGAAAGUAACAACUCUCAGUUGAUUAGCUGAGAAUAAACAGAUGCUUUUACAGCUCGCAUUGGUGGGAAGAUCUGGCACAAAUGAAGUAUCUAUAAGGAGCAGCAGAGUCAAGGUGGUGAUCCUGUGGAAGAA
rnacentral:lncRNA from 1 species